CCCAACCACCGCACGGCCUGCCUCCUCGAUCCCAUCUCGACCUCCAGCCCCACCCCGCCUUGUCCUCCGCUGCCGCUCGCCGCCCACCCCCGCAGCCGCCACCUCCUGCCCCGCCCCGCGCCGCCGGUCGCGCUCGCAGCCGCCCCGCUCGGCGCACCCACCUCGCUCGAGGUUGGGCGAGCGCGGAAGUAGAGUUCGGGACGGUGGAUCGGAAUCCAUCGACCGAUUCUCUCUUUCUCUCCUCUCCCUUGGAUUCCUGUAGGCGGUGGAUCAAUCUUGCCUUCGUGGUGGCGGCAGAACGAGCGCCGUGAGAUCAGGUGGACCUGCUUCUGAUUCCUCCUGGUGCUUGGGACGUUUUCGGCUAGAUUGAUUUACUAGCUACGUCCAAGCAGGCCACUGGAUUGAUUUCAUGAGGCUUACUAGCUACGUCCCAAUCAAGAUAGCUAGACUUACUAACUACGUCCCAAGCAGGCCAAUCCAAUAUGUUGAUCAAUUUGAUUGUUCUGGCUGGAGGUCAGGAGGUCAGAAGGUGCGUCCUUCACACUAAAUCGUACCCGAAGUUCUACAAUUAGGCAGUGCACUGCGGGAGCGUGUACUGCGACUAUUUCUGCACUGCCGAGGAAGGCUUGAUCUUUCCCACAGCAGAAGCUCGCUUCGAGGUCUUGGUGUGGGGCUGCUGGGGAAGGGAAUGUCCUUCUACUUAGUGAAAGUCGUUGUUGCGCUAAAAUGUAGAUGUUAUGAUGACCAAUGACCAUAAACUUUUCUCAAGAAAUCUGGAAAGAAGCGAGGAUUCUCAAGUAAGAUAAGUCUGCUUACAAAAAUUUGCCUACUGGAAAGUAGAUAAGAGACUCAUGAAGUAAGAAUACAUGCCUACAUAUUAUACAUAGCAGGCUUCUGACUUCUCUGAUUCUGCAAGCCUUGAGGCUGUGAAACAUCUAUGCUAGGUCGCCACACUUCUGCCACCUUCAUUUGAUGAGGUUCAGCGCUCACUACUAUGAAAGAAGAAGGCAUAUAUUUUCCUUGUGGAAUUUCCAGUAGAAUGACAGUGAGAACGAGUAAAAAUCUACAACAGUAUGACUGUAUGGUUCUCACUCAAAGUAGAGGCCCAACAAACUUUUUUGAAGUAGGAGUCGAAAACUACAAAUCCAUCUAUUCCUAGAAUGGAGCUGGUUGGAGUUGAGCCUACAAUUGAGCGGGUAGUUCGGUGGCACCGACAUCCAGCUGAAAGUUUUAUAGGAGGGUUAGUAAAGCAAAUUUGUUCAUGAGGAAAUGUGCCAGCAAAACAUUGAGUCAGAGUGCAAGACAAAUGCUCUUAACAGUUUUUUUGGUCGUUUUUCUUUAAUUACAAUUCUUAUUAUUUUUAGUUGGCAUUGAUGUACAAAAGAAAAUCCUGUGCCUUUUUUGUCCUCUCAUUGACCAUUGUAUUUUUGAGUCAUAUCAGUCUAUGUAAAAGAAUUCAGUACCUUAUGUUUUGUAUAUUUGGAAAUGUCUAAAGGCGUGGUGUUAUAUAA